rnacentral:lncRNA from 1 species
CCGUAAACAUCCCAGAACCCAGUGUCACAAGUGCAUGACCUAUCUCUAGGAAACAAUAUAAUACAACAGCUGUCCGAAAUACAAACUGGAUAGAAAGUAAGUACAGUAAUUUGAAAGAGACUCUGCUGGCUGCGGGUCGUCUCGAGAAGUGCAGCUCACUUAAGUCUCUGUAUCAAUCAUGCUGCUACGCCCACUAGAGAUGUAUGUGCCUGUGCAACAAAAAUGCACAGCAAGUGUAGUAUGAGUACGAAAACAAUGUGUACCCAAUGAGUAUCCCGUCUAAUCUCGAAGAAGUAGAGACGAGAGGCUGACUUCGACAUUUACUAGUGGUCCAAUGAUAAUAUAUUAUUGAUGCGAGUAAUCAUGGAUUUAUUAAGAAUGAUAGUAGUUUCAUAUAAGUCACAAACAGGUAAAAGUUCCUUUUUAUAUUAAAGGUCUCCAGAUUCAUAAUCCAUUAGUUCUCAAUUAUCUCAAGUCGGGAAAAGCAAAUAUCAAUAAAUCUCAAGGCAGUAAUACAAGCAUGCACAAAUCAUGCCGAGGUCGUACGACCCGAUCCAACAAUAUUUUAACUGCGCACUGCCGAGGGUUGAACGACGCGAAUUAUAGAUACAUCUAUUUAAUCUGCCGAGGCGUUCGGCCAAUUCCAGAAAUAAACACACAUAGACAGUAAAUCAAGAAGUCAACAUGGAACAUUUAUCCAAAGAAAAGCCAAUUCUCUUUUAACAACUUAAAAAAAUGAAAUUUAAAUCCUUUUAGAAAUUCAUUUACUAAUUCGAUGAGAUUUAAGCAAUUCCAGCUGUCAAUAAGUAUACAAAUAAUCCAAGUACAACAUGCUUUUGGGUCCUAGACUACCCGGACAAUAGCAUAAUAGUAUCUAUGCAUGGACUCUCGUCACCUCGUGUGUACGUAGCCCCCACAAAUAGGACCACAUAACCAAUUAACUCACAUAUGGGGACAAUUCCCUCUUACAAGGUUAGAAAGGAGACUCACCUGGCUCCGAAGAUCCAUAACCGCAUUCCCCGUUCUUCCGAAGACUCGAACCGAUGAACAAAGCUCCAAAGCUAGCCAAUAAUGAUACAAAUCCAUUAAUAUAUACUCAAUUAUUCAUUACAAUCCAAUUUAUAAAAAUUCCUAACCCCGAUCGAAAAGUAGACGAAUACGCCCUCGGGCCCACGUGCCCGGAUUCCAAAAUUUUCUGAAGAUAAACUUUACUCAUAUCCCCACGAACUCAAAUAUAUAAUUUACUCUCAAUUUCAUACGCAAAAUCGUGGUCAAAUUCCAAGAAUAUCAAUUUUCUAGGUUUUCCCUCAAACCCCCAAAUUUAUACCAAUUUACAUGCUAAAAUUCAUACCCAAUCAAUAUAUUUAACUCAAGAUAGGUGGGGUUAGCUUACCUUAACGUUGAUGAAGAAAAUCCCCUCUUGAAGCUCUCCAAAAAUCGCCCCAACAAGAGAAAAAUGGAGGAAAAUGGCCAAAACCCCCCGAUUUUAAGACACUCACUGCCUCAGCAUUUUCCGUACCUGCGGUCCCUCGACCGCUUCUGCGGUUCCGUAGGUGCGACCCCACUACCGCAUCUGCGGUCCUUCCCAGGCUGCCCUUUUUCCGCUUCUGCGUCUUUUCCACCGCAGGUGCGGUCCUGUAUCUGCGAAAAAACGACCGCAUCUGCGGUCCCUUCACUUCCAGUCCAAAACUGCAUCUGCGACUCUUCUGGCCGCUUCUGCGGCUCCGCACCUACGGCCCAAUUCUCGCAGGUGUAGUUAUGAUAGCAACCAGCAAGUUCAGCCUUCCAAAAAUUUCAUUUUCGAUCCGUUAACCACCCGGAAUCCACCCGAGGCCCUCGGGAUCCCAACCAGUCUCAAAACACAUUACGGACUUGCUCGAGGCCUCAAAUCAUAUCAAACAACGCUAAAACCACGAAUCGACCUCCAAUCCAAGCUUUAUGAACUUUAGAAUUUCCAACUCCUACUUUCGAUGUUUUAACCUAUCAAAUCAUGUCCGAUUGACCUUAAAUUUUGCACGCAAGUCAUAUUUGACAUUACGGACCUACUCCAACUUCCAGAAUCAAAAUCUGACCCCGAUAUCAAAAAGUCAACUUCCGGUCAAACUUCUCAAAAACCUUCAAAUUUCUACCUUCAGCCAAAUGACUUCAAAAUGACAUACGGACGUCCGAAGUCACUUCCGAUCGCGCUCCCAACUCCAGAAUCACCAUACGGAGCUAUUCCUAGACUGGGAAUCCCAAACGGGCAUUGAUAACACUGAAAUGCGCUUCAAUCCAAACUUAUGAAAUUUCUUCCAAAAUGCUAACUUCCACGAUAGGCGCCAAAACGCUCCCUGGUCAUCCAAAACCUGAUCCGGGCAUACGCCUAAGUCCGAAAUCAUCAUACAAACCUGUUGGAACCUUCGAAUCCUUAUUCUGAUGUCGCUUACCCAAAAAUUUGAUCUUAGCUAAUUCUUUCAAUUUAAGGCUUCUGAAAUGAGAAUUUUUCUUUCCAAAUCAACCCUAAACUCCCCGAAGUUCAAUUCCGUCGAUGUGUACAAGUCAUAAUACCUGAAGUGAAGUUGUUCAUGGCCUCAAACUGCCGAAGAACGGUCCAAAGCUCAAAACGACCGGUCGGGUCGUUACAGUCAUGAUGGAGCCGGACACCACUGUCAGGCAAGCCACCACGAAAGUAUUAAUAAACUCUCAUUUUUAAUUAUUUCCAAAAAUCAUUUUCCUUUUAUCAGUUUAGACAAUACAUAGGAAAUUCCUCUGAAUCAAUAAUGAAACACUUAACAACUUCAAAAAAAAAUCUGAAUAAACCCGUAAACAUCCCAGAACCCGGUGUCACAAGUGUAUGAGCAAUUACUAAUGAAUCGAAUAAAGCACAACAACUGUCCGGAAUGCAAAUUGGGCAGAAAGUAAAUACAAUACACUAAAAAAGACUGUAUUGGCUGUGAGUCGCCUCGAGGAAUGCAGCUCGCCUAAGCUCCCAAAACACAUUACGGACUUGCUCGAGGCCUCAAAUCACAUCAAACGAUGCUAAAACCACGAAUCACCCUCCAAUCCAAGCUUUAUGAACUUUAGAAUUUCAAACUUCUACUUUAGAUGUUUAAACUAUCAAAUCACGUCCGAUUGACCUCAAAUUUUGCACGCAAGACAUAUUAGACAUUACGGACCUACUCAAAUUUCCGGAAUCGGAUUUCGACCCCGAUAUCAAAAAGUCCACUUCUGGUCAAGCUUCUCAAAAACCUUCAAUUUUCUAUCUUUAUCCAAAUGACUCCAAAAUGACCUACGAACCUCCGAAUUUAUUUUCGAUCGCGCUCCCAACUCCAGAAUCACCAUACAGAGCUAUUCCCAUACUCGGAAUCCUAAACGGACAUCGAUAACACUAAAAUGCACUUCAAGCCAAACUUAUGAAAUUUCUUCCAAAAUGUUAACUUCCACAAUAGGCGCCAAAAUGCUCCCGGGUCAUCCAAAAGCCGAUGCGGCCAUAUGCCCUAGUCUGAAAUCAUCAUACGAACCUGCUGGAACCUUCAGAUCCCGAUUCCCAGGUUGUUUACUCAAAAAUUCAAUCUUAGUUGAUUCUUUCAACUUAAAGUUUCCGAAAUGAGAAUUCUCUUUCCAAAUCAACUCCGAACUUCCCGGAAUCCAAUUCAGAUAAUGCGUACAAGUCAUAAUACCUGAAGUAAAGCUGUUCAUGGCCUUAAACUGCCGAAGAACGGGCCGAAGCUCAAAACGACCGGUCGGGUCGUUACAUUCUCUCCCACAUUGACAUACGUUCGUCCUCGAACGUGCUAAGAAUUGCGCUGGAAUUGUCUGAAAUCAUAGUUAAACACCUUGUGCACCUACCCGUGCCACCACAACUCAGUUGAGCAAAUUGGCUCGAGAAAAUCUAAAUAUGUUCUCUUUUAUUCAAACAAAUGAGCCUUAGAGCCCAGUUUCAACAUCCGAAAUUCUUUACCAGGCUUGCUCCCAAUACAAGAACACCGUAUAAAUCACUACACGAUGUACCAGAACAUGACUGCAUACCUUUGCCGAAUUCUCACCAUGCUCCACAUCAUCCCUAGGACCAUAAUAACAUUCUCUGAUCAUGAUAACCAACAUUCCCCGAAUCUGAUGCUCACAACGCACCUCAUGAUAUAUAUAAGUCUUGUUCUAACUCUUACAAUACCGCCAUGACGGAAGAGAUGUGUAGAAAUUCAUAACCAACUACCGAAUCAACAAUCAUUGGGUCUAUACUCCUGACGUAACCAUCGCGCCUCGUUCUGAACCGAAUAAUGGUCUUUGCUCCUUAAUAUACUUCAUAUAAUCAGAUUGCACUGAUCCUAAAUCCAAUAAUCUCGUCUCACCCAGUACGAACUGCUCAGGCAAUAAGACAUCCCAGACAUGAUCAAAAGUCUCAUAUGAUGCCACACUGCGCUAAUAGGCUACAAAUUCGAAUGUGGUACGAAAGAAAAAUAAACUAUGAAAAAGGAAAUCUAAUUACCCCGCUCACGAAUCAUACCUGGGAUGCGGGAAACAUACUAAACAGACACCCCACUCGCGAAUCAUACAUGCAACGCGGGAUCACAGCUAAUACGAGCUUUUCCCCAAAAAAUAGGAAAUGAAACACAUAAAACAGAUAUAGGGAACCGUACUCAACAUCACACUAUUGCGGUGCGCAACCCGAUCCAAAUGACAUAACAUCACCUAAGGAGAUGCACAUCGAGCUAGAUUGCUCAUUACAACCAAAAUACCGAAUAUCGGUCACAAGAACGCUAAGUUCAUAAUACUAUCCCUAAGGGAACAUAUAGCACUAUAAGCUACAAAACUCAAGCACAACUAAGGUGCGAUAUACAGCCCAUAUUCACAUUAAAUCCAUCCACAGACCUCAAGUCGAUUUCUGAUUGCACCAACUAGGCUAGUGACCUUUCAUGGGUCCGUAAUAACCCCCUUUUCUCAUAACACACAAGCUCAAUCGUCAUAAUCAGAGAAAUCCUCCAUAGAACACAACUCAAUAAACCGAGUGCCCUCCAAGCAUAAGCUUUCAAAUUAAUGAUACCAUCACAAUCUUCAUACUUGGUAUGAAUUCUUCAACCAAUCUAGUGGCUACAUGCCACACUUAUACAACCUUCCCGUGGGCACGCUCCCACAACCUUCCAUAACGGAUAACAGGUCUGUACACCCAAACCACCGGCCGCACUAACGCUGAAAAGCGAUCACAAAUCCUUAACCAGAAUGCAAAGCCCCUUUUCACAUAACACCGAUCUCAGGUGACGCUGAAGACAAUACCAACUUACCUUAAACAUCAAAACUCAUUUCCUGCUCAUCCGAGCUCGUGACAUCUUUGCCAACACCGAGCUGCAAUCUUGAUUCUCAAUUCAAAUUCCAUACCAUUCACUACACCUAUCAUGCCAAUAUACGAUAGAGCAUGAUUUUCGUCAUAACUCCGAAACCACUAAUAAAUUAACACUUCAUCAUAUAAAAACCUUUCACUUAACUCACUUCAGGAGAAGCAUAGCAACACACAGGUAAAUUCUCAUAACCGUAAAAUAUACAAAUCUCUAAGUAGUGUACUAAGCCACCAUAGUCCUUCCAGGAUUCGCCUACACAUAACAUGCCAUAACCGUAGAAUACUUCUGAAUACCAUCAAUUAUGGCGGCCGAUGAGUCUCGCACGCAUCGUCACAAAUCACCUGCAUAACUUGAUUAUGCUGAAGGAACUGAUCACUACCACCAAUAUGCCAAAUUCAACUAUGGAUAACCAAUCUAUCUUCUUCCAAAUCACUUUUUAAUUGCCUUAGAAAUAAUCAUAACACCAUUCAACACAUAGUACACCCCAUCUCCACUCAUCCCGAGUGACCAUGAAUCACGAGACCAUACUGUCUCAAAUCCCGCAAGCCAUUUCAUACCUUCCUUGUGCGCACAUUCGCACCCUCAACCAGUAUGCCUAUUGUCACACCUCUUUUUUACUAUACCCCGUAAAAGGUAUAAAUAUAAGGGAGUUUUUCCAAUUAAAGGACAAUCGAAACAAGAUUUUUUAUUUAAAAAUUCAGAAUCGCCACUUGGGAUAAUUCAUGGUGUCCCAAGUCACCGGUUUAAAUCCCAAAUCGAGGAAAAGAUUUACUCUGUACUAUAGUCCGCGAACCAAAAAUCCGAGUAAGGAAUUUUGUUAACCCGGGAGAAAGUGUUAGGCAUUCCCGAGUUCUGUGGUUCUGGCACGGUCGCUUUGAUCAUACUUGGCUUAUUAAAUUACUCGUUUAGAACCUAUGUGCUUUUACCUCUUUUAAUUAAGAAAUUAUCUUGAAACGGGUCACGCGUAUGUGUACCUAUUUGUUUUGGUGCGUCAAAAAUCGUGUCAUGCGUACAUGUUCACAAUUAAUAACGCUUUAUUAUUAUUAAGAAUAUUUGGUCGAAGUUGCGCGAACGCAUACUCCGGUUUUGUUUUUAGAAAAUCGUAACCAUGUCACGCGAACGUGUCCACAAUCACGAUAGUAUAUUAAAUGUGCCAAAAGCAAACUACGGACCAUUGUCAUUUUUAUAUCUAAAUUAAUACGAAGGCCAUGCAAUUGUCAUUUUGUUUGGCACGACACACCUCGAAUCAUUUUAUUUAAAAGGUUUUAAACUAACACAUGAGGGCUACGAACUACUUGUAUCAUAUAAUAUGGAUCACCCCAAUCAUUUCCAAGGAUCUUACUAAUUGAUUAAAGCCGCAAGGAAUUCUUAACUGAUUUCAAGCCGUGGUCUAAGCUAAAAUUGAUGAAAGUCACAGUUGACAAACAAGCUGUGAACUCAAUGUCCAAAUACGAAACGAGAGGACAAGCUUGGAUCAUAGCUGGGCCUGCUCGCGAGGCCCCAAUUUGAGAGUCUACCGGUUAAAAAAAUCCAGCACAAAUGGGCUAACGCUGAUAACCAGAUGAGGGCCUCAGUACCAACGUUUGAAGCAUACACGGUGUUUAUGAGCAUUUUUGACUCUGACCCAACCAUUAAUGCAUUUAAAACACACUUGCAAUAUCAUUUAAAUGUCAACAUAUAUUCUCAGGUUAAAACAAAACCCCUUCACACACUAAUAAACCUUUACACAAUUUAUCUGUCACUUAGCAUUACAACAGAAAAAUCAUAAUUCAAAUUCAAACUUAGCAUUACAUCUAUCGAAAUAAGUGCUUGCUUUUAAUUUAAAACACAAAACAAUGGCCUGGACAGUCACUUUCAGGGAUUACUUUAUGCAUUUCUGGGCAAUUCUAUUAAACUAGCUACUUCAUGCUAAUGUGACAAGAAUGCAACUAUCCAUACUCAUGGAAAAUAACUCAAUACCAACUAAAGUUAACAAGUGUAAAUAAGAGUCCUAAAUACAGAUCUUAAAGUGAAUUUCAAAUGUUCAUGGCAUAUCAUUAUUUAACGUACCAAAACAAACAACAUAAAUGGACAAAUCGAGUAAAAAACAGAACUGAGGGAAAACAUCUAUCAAGCACGGAACUCUUCAUUUCUUCAAAACACAUGAACCCUUCUUACAUGUCUAGAAUCAGGAAUGUGUACCUGGAAAUCAAGAAGGAAACAAGGGGAAUAAGGAGUCAAUAACAGCAACAGUAGGUCAGCCCAGAAUCAGCAAGGAAGAGAUAACAAACAGUAAUCAAACCCAAUUUUGAAUCCCAGAUUUAGCUUAGAACACAAUUCCAGAACCAGACUCGGUUCAACCAACUUUAGAUAUCAAAUUAAACCUUCCCUAGCCUCAUGUGAAUCAAAAAUGACUUCAGAAAAAUGAACCUCGAGCAUCAGAAUAGAAAUCAAUGGAACAGUCAAUUUCUAUGACAUUUCAGCUGUUUUUUGUUUUUUGUAUUCUCUAUAUCUUCUAAUCCCUUAUGAAACAGUAGAUUUUUUUUGCAGUUUUUCUAUAUUUUCUGGAUUUCAGCUCUCAGAAAUCUCUGCCUUCAAAGGCAAGAAAAGCUGCCUUUAUAGUCAAGGCACUAGGGCAGCUAAAGGAGGAUCAGAUUUGCA